GAUCAUGGCUCAGGAUGAACGCUAGCUACAGGCUUAACACAUGCAAGUCGAGGGGAAACGACAUCGAAAGCUUGCUUUUGAUGGGCGUCGACCGGCGCACGGGUGAGUAACGCGUAUCCAACCUGCCGAUAACUCGGGGAUAACCCUUCGAAAGAAGGCCUAAUACCCGAUGGCAUAUCCCUUCCGCCUGGUUGGGAUAUUAAAGAACUUCGGUUAUCGAUGGGGAUGCGUUCCAUUAGCUUGUUGGCGGGGUAACGG
rnacentral:rRNA from 1 species